ACAAGGUCGACCUCAGAUCAGGUAGGAAUACCCGCUGAACUUAAGCAUAUCAAUAAGCGGAGGAAAAGAAACAACAGGGAUUGCUCAGUAACGGCGAGUGAAGCGGCAACAGCUCAAAUUUGAAAUCUGGCCUCUGGCCCGAGUUGUAAUUUGCAGAGGAUGUUUCUGGCGAGGUGCCUUCCGAGUUCCCUGGAACGGGACGCCAUAGAGGGUGAGAGCCCCGUACGGUUGGUCGCUAAGCCUCUGUGAAACUCCUUCGACGAGUCGAGUAGUUUGGGAAUGCUGCUCUAAAUGGGAGGUGUACGCCUUCUUAAGCUAAAUACCGGCUAGAGACCGAUAGCGCACAAGUAGAGUGAUCGAAAGAUGAAAAGCACUUUGAAAAGAGGGUUAAAAAGUACGUGAAAUUGUUGAAAGGGAAGCGCUCUUGACCAGACUUGCGCCGGUUGAUCAUCCGCCGUUCUCGGUGGUGCACUCUGCCGGCUCAGGCCAGCAUCAGUUCGGUCCGGGGGAUAAAGGCUUCGGGAAUGUGGCUCUCUCCGGGGAGUGUUAUAGCCCGUUGCGUAAUACCUGGGCUGGACUGAGGUUCGCGCAUCUGCAUGGAUGCUGGCGUAAUGGUUAUCAGUGACCCGUCUUGAAACACGGACCAAGGAGUCGUCUUCGUAUGCGAGUGUUCGGGUGUCAAACCCCUACGCGUAAUGAAAGUGAACGUAGGAGAGAGCUUCGGCGCAUCUCCGACCGAUCCUGAUGUUCUCGGAUGGAUUUGAGUAAGAGCAUACGGGGCCGGACCCGAAAGAAGGUGAACUAUGCCUGUAUAGGGUGAAGCCAGAGGAAACUCUGGUGGAGGCUCGCAGCGGUUCUGACGUGCAAAUCGAUCGUCAAAUAUGGGCAUGGGGGCGAAAGACUAAUCGA
rnacentral:rRNA from 1 species